rnacentral:rRNA from 1 species
ACACUUUACAAUGCGGGAAACCGCGAUAAGGGAACCCCGAGUGCCAGCAUCAAAUGUUGGCUGUCCAGAUGAUUAAAAAUCAUUUGUUAGCAAGGGCCGGGCAAGACCGGUGCCAGCCGCCGCGGUAACACCGGCGGCCCGAGUGGUAGCCGUUUUUAUUGGGUCUAAAGGGUCCGUAGCCGGCCUGAUAAGUCCUUUGGGAAAUCUGGCAGCUUAACUGUCAGGCUUCUAAGGGAUACUGUCAGGCUUGGGACCGGAAGAGGUAAGGGGUACUCCAGGGGUAGGAGUGAAAUCUUGUAAUCCCUGGGGGACCAUCUGUGGCGAAGGCGCCUUACCAGAACGGGUCCGACGGUGAGGGACAAAAGCUAGGGGAGCAAACCGGAUUAGAUACCCGGGUAG